rnacentral:rRNA from 1 species
UACGGGGGGGGCAAGCGUUGUUCGGAAUUACUGGGCGUAAAGGGUUCGUAGGUGGCCAACUAAGUCAGACGUGAAAUCCCUCAGCUUAACUGGGGAACUGCAUCUGAUACUGGUUGGCUUGAGUGCAGGAGAGGAACGCGGAAUUCCAGGUGUAGCGGUGAAAUGCGUAGAUAUCUGGAGGAACACCGGUGGCGAAGGCGGCGUUCUGGACUGCAACUGACACUGAGGAACGAAAGCCAGGGGAGCAAACGGG